rnacentral:rRNA from 1 species
UACGGAGGAUGCAAGCGUUAUCCGGAUUUAUUGGGUUUAAAGGGUGCGUAGGCGGGAAAAUAAGUCAGUGGUGGAAUCCUACAGCUUAACUGUAGAAUUGCCGUUGAUACUGUUUUUCUUGAGUAUGGUCAAGGAAGGCGGAAUGUGUAAUGUAGCGGUGAAAUGCUUAGAUAUUACACAGAACACCAAUUGCGAAGGCAGCUUUCUGGCCCAUUACUGACGCUGAGGCACAAAAGCGUGGGGAUCGAACAGGAUUAGAUACCCUGGUA